rnacentral:rRNA from 1 species
GACGAACGCUGGCGGCGUGCUUAACACAUGCAAGUCGAACGGUAAGGCCCCAGCUUGCUGGGGUACACGAGUGGCGAACGGGUGAGUAACACGUGGGUGACCUGCCCCGCACUUCGGGAUAAGCCUGGGAAACUGGGUCUAAUACCGGAUAGGACCGCACCGUGAGGGUGUGGUUGAAAGUUUUUCGGUGUGGGAUGGGCCCGCGGCCUAUCAGCUUGUUGGUGGGGUAAUGGCCUACCAAGGCGGCGACGGGUAGCCGGCCUGAGAGGGUGGACGGCCACAUUGGGACUGAGACACGGCCCAGACUCCUACGGGAGGCAGCAGUGGGGAAUAUUGCACAAUGGGCGGAAGCCUGAUGCAGCGACGCCGCGUGGGGGAUGACGGCCUUCGGGUUGUAAACUCCUUUCACCAUCGACGAAGGUUUUCUGACGGUAGAUGGAGAAGAAGCACCGGCUAACUACGUG